GGUGGGGUGUCUGAGUGGCCGAAAGAGACGGUCUUGAAAACCGUUGUACCUUUGCGGGUACCGUGGGUUCGAAUCCCACCCCCUCCGCCA
rnacentral:tRNA from 1 species